rnacentral:rRNA from 1 species
CUAAGCCGAGGACGAAAGUCGUAGGCGAUGGACAACAGGUGAAGAUUCCUGUACCGCUUUUAUUGCGAUUGAGAGAUGUGGUGACACAGGAGGAUAGGCAGAGCGCACGACUGGAAGAGUGCGUCCAAGCAGUGAGCUUGACGAGGUAGGCAAAUCCGCUUCGUUAAAAGGUGAGCUGUGAUGGGGAGUGAAAUGAAGUAACGAAGCUGUCGAUUUCAAACUGUCGAGAAAAGCCGCUAAUCGAGUAAUGAGGGCGCCUGUACCGUAAACCGACACAGGUAGGUAGGAAGAGAAUUCUAAGGCCAGCGAGAGAACCAUUGUUAAGGAACUCGGCAAAAUGACCCCGUAACUUCGGGAGAAGGGGUGCCGGAUCAGGUUCAGAGCUAGAUCCGGCCGCAGAGGAUAGGCCCAAGCGACUGUUUACCAAAAACACAGGUCUCUGCUAAAUCGAAAGAUGAUGUAUAGGGGCUGACGCCUGCCCGGUGCUGGAAGGUUAAGAGGAAAGGUUAGCGUAAGCGAAGCUUAGAAUCGAAGCCCCAGUAAACGGCGGCCGUAACUAUAACGGUCCUAAGGUAGCGAAAUUC